rnacentral:rRNA from 1 species
UACGUAGGGCGCAAGCGUUAUCCGGAAUUAUUGGGCGUAAAGAGCUCGUAGGCGGUUUGUCGCGUCUGCCGUGAAAGUCCGGGGCUCAACUCCGGAUCUGCGGUGGGUACGGGGCAGACUAGAGUGAUGUAGGGGGAGACUGGAAUUCCUGGUGUAGCGGUGAAAUGCGCAGAUAUCAGGAGGAACACCGGUGGCGAAGGCGGCCUGCUGGGGCAGUAGCUGACGCUGAUGCGCGACAGCGUGGGGAGCAAACAGG